rnacentral:rRNA from 1 species
GAUGAACGCUGGCGGCGUGCUUAACACAUGCAAGUCGAACGGUGAAGGAGGGCUUGCCCUCCGGAUCAGUGGCGAACGGGUGAGUAACACGUGGGCAACCUGCCCCUCACUCUGGGAUAACGCCGGGAAACCGGCGCUAAUACCGGAUACGACCAGGCGCGACAUCUCGCCUGGUGGAAAGAAUUUCGGUGAGGGAUGGGCCCGCGGCCUAUCAGCUAGUUGGUGGGGUAACGGCCCACCAAGGCGACGACGGGUAGCCGGCCUGAGAGGGCGACCGGCCACACUGGGACUGAGACACGGCCCAGACUCCUACGGGAGGCAGCGGUGGGGAAUAUUGCGCAAUGGGCGAAAGCCUGACGCAGCGACGCAGCGUGAGGGACGAAGGCCUUCGGGUUGUAAACCUCUUUCAGCGGGGACGAAGCGAAAGUGACGGUACCCGCAGAAGAAGCACCGGCUAACUACGUGCCAGCAGCCGCCGUAAGAC